rnacentral:lncRNA from 1 species
ACUAGUGUAAUUUGAGUUGGGAGUUUGACUAAUCACUAGUAAAUUCCAUAUGCCGAGCAAUGGGUGAAGGCGGCAGGCAAGGCAACACAGCCAGCCAGUUAUGACAGUUGAUUAACUUAACCUACUGCAAAUUUGAAGCUUCAGAGAAGGUGAGAUAGUUCAAUUCAUUUGAUUUCGUUCAAUAAAAAUAUAAUAAAUAAAAGUUAUUGCUUCCUUACUUACCUAGUUUGUUCAUUUUCAACGCCUUAUUUUUGUCUGUCAAUAGAAAAUUCAAGUCCAUUCAUCGAAUUUGUGUGUGAAAGUUCAAGAAAGGGAUGCAAUAAUAUGUAGGGGAGGAUUGGUUAUUUUUUAUCUUACAGGCGGAAUAGGGUGUUUUUAUAAUGGGCUGCUCUGGAUCUGAAAGGAGACUCUUUUUAAAAAAAAUGAAAGAGACAAAAGAAAGAGACAAAAGAAAAUUGCAAAGACAUGUCAUCAAUUUCUAAGUCUUUACAAGGAGGUCUCCUUCUCCUUCUCCUUCUCCUUCUCGUAUGGCCUUUUAUUUUAUUUUUUAUUUUUUUUGAGUUAGAUAGGAAGUCUCUGUCUUGUCUUAAACUUGAUGUUCUGUAAGAUGUCCCAUUGGUCCGAAUUAUUGCACUAUCUUUUCAUCAGGUACUGUAUUUUAUAUAAAUAUAUUCUCAUGUCACAUAAAAUUCGAUGCAAAGUUUAUUGGGAUUUAAUGACAUCAAUAAAUCAUCAAUAAAUCCUCCUUUGUUUAUCUAUUCUUUUAGACUUUCUUGUACAACCUUAUUUCUCUUUUCCUUAUGGGGAAUGCUAUUCGAACGUCUAUCCAUUUUACCAUUUAAAGUGAAAAGCGCUUGUACAAAAGACAAUAAUACUAGGGAGAUCUUAGUAGUAGUAUUUGAGUUUUAAUCCAAAUUUUAUUAUCAUGUAUCAUUUAUUUAUUAGAUAAUAAAUUUCAUAACUUAUACAUUAUUUGACCACCAUCUGAUAAAUCAAUACUCCUAUAAAAAUAGUUAUGGAUGGAACAAUAACAUUCACAUCACUCAUUUUUCAUGUGUUAUCAUAAAAGCAUGUUGUUUGUUCAUUUUGUAAAAAUACCCUUAACCCAUGUUUGGUUGGAAGAAAUGGUAGGAGCGGAAAGGAAAGAAUGGGAGAGAAAAUGAGUGAAAAUGAGUGAAAAAGAAUGUCAAUUUCAUUUUUAUUGUUUGGAUGGUCAAUGAAUUCAUUUUUCUCCCCUUAUUUUUUCCCCUCUCCUCCUUUCCUCUUCUCUCCUCUCCUUAUAUUGUUCCAAACCAAACAUGCCAUUAGUCUUGAAUAUUUCUCAAAAAUGACACUUGGAAUCACAAUUUAUAUGAAAAUGAACAAAAAAAACUCUCUAAUGUUUCGACAAAGGCAUCCACACAUCAUUUGAUUGUAAAUUCAAUUAGUUUAUAAGGCAACAAUGGUAAUUUAGUACAUUUAUCCUAAAAAUAUUCAUGAUAUACUAAAAAAAAAAAGGUUCUAAUCUUAUUUUGUUUUACAUAAACAUCUCAAAAUUCAUUGUAAGUGAUGUGAUAUUCAUUAGGGAUGAGGAUUUCGAUUUUUUGUUGUUCAAUUUUUACGAUUUUCGGUUUAGGUUACAACCCAUUCGAGUCUAAGAUUUCAACCUAAGCAUGUUGAAAGAUUGUUUCAGUUUGGUCUACUUUGGUUCGGUUUGGUUCGGUUUGGUUCAAUUUGAUACGAGUAUAUAAUUUGGUGUGGUUUUGGUUUGUUAAUUCAGGUCUAAACACAGUUUCGGUUAUAAUAAAAUAGCAAUAUGUGAUUGUAAGAGUGAGGCAAAGAUGGAGAAUAAUUUUUUUUUUUUUUAAAAGGUACCUUAUGCUCGUGAAGAUCACAAUUGUAUUUAGGCCUGUAACAACAACCUGCAGAAAAUAACUUGCUCAGGUCAGUCCUAUUAGAAAAAGUGUCUAAAUUCCGAGAAAUUACUAGAGUCGGUGAGAGAUAGAAACCUGAAGAAUGGCAUAGAUUAUUGUUCCAACGCUGGAAGAAAAUCCUAAGGACAUUACAAGUAUAAGAACCAAAAUAUUAUGGUCGUUCUAAAUUUUUGAGAGAACAUGAAAGCAUAUCCUUGCAGAGAUCUCAUUACCUGCUGACUCAAAAAUAGUGCUGCUGUAAAAACAGAUUCCAUUGAUUCCACCAAAUUGUUGAAACACCAUCAAUCCGACUCCAAUCUUGUCAAAAUGAAUAAAUUGUAGGAGGAGUCAAUGAGAAGAUAAAAUGUAGUUGCAUUAUAGAUGAAGGAGAAAGAGGAAUUUGUACCGUGACUGAGCGCAAGUAUCUUCUUUGAAACAAAUCCAGCAUUCCAGCUUUUGGGAGCCUUUCUAGAGUUUCUAUGUAAUCCUGUUAAGCAACGAAAAAAAUGCUUCAGAUAAAUUUUCUUCUCAAUGGUCCAAUACACAUAGUCAGUGUGGAAUGGCACUUAUAACUCAGAUAUAAGACCUGGAUUUCAGCUGCCUCAUGUGUUAUAUCAGCAUCCUUGCCACGAAGUUUCUGUAGCGCAGCUUCAAACUCUUUUUCCUUUCCUGUCUUUGCCUGUGUCCAUGGCAAGUUCAGUUUCAUGUAUUCAUCUUUUUCUUGGAGUGUCAUUAUCAGGUAUCCUUACCAGCCAUCUAGGAGACUCCGGGAUGAAAAAGAGACCCAAAAACAAAAUUGCACAGGGGAUGAUACCUGCAAUAAUUGUCUGUAAGCCUUCUGUUUCAUUAUCCUUUCGUAGUUCGUUUUCCUUUUUAAGUUUUCUUGGACAGUUGAAUAAAUGGAUGGUUAAUCAUUUUCACCUGUUAGUGCUAAAGCUCUCCAUGUUAGUACCGUCCCAAUUAUGAAGGCAACUGACACACCAGCACAGAUCAUAAGCUAUAUACAAACAUCAGAAACAAUUAGAUAGAUCAUAGAUUGCUUAAUUUUGGGGCAACUAGCUAUUCGAGAGAUAAAUUAAAAUGACAAAUGAGAAUUUCCUCCAAUUAAGAUGUCUGCAUUUUUAGCUUACCUGAUUUGCAGCUGUUAGUGCUCCUCGAAGAUUCUUGGGUGCAAUUUCAGCAAUAAAAACCGGCACCACAUACGAAAAGACUCCCAUUCCAUAUCCUGUUGCCAAUCUUCCAAUAUCCAAUGGCCAAACCCCCUUUUGUUUCAAUCAAAACAGAAAGAAUAUAAUUGGUAAGUUUAUAGGAAAAUUGUUCUCUUUGCUAUGUAGCUGAAAGAAAUAGGGGAACAAAAAAAUAUUAGUAGAGCUUAAGAAUAUAUGAACCUCAGCAAAGUAAAUAGCAAGCCAUCCUGCAACGCAGAAGACACUUGAAACUCUCAUUGCCUGCACAUAUUAAACAAUCUUACAAGCUAAAUAUUCACUAGAACACAAUUAAGCUCAUAUCCUAAACAUGCAGUGAUUAAUCAGCUAAAAAAUAUAUAUCUUCUUACCCCUUUCCGACCAACAUAAUUAGCAAUUGGCCCACUGGUGAUUGCCCCGAUCAUGGCACCAAAUGUUAAUAUGGAGCCAAACACGGAAUACUGCAUGAGUAUAAACCAAAACCAAAAUGAAAAAAUUUCAUAUUUACCAACUGAAUGGAAUUAGUCUCUGCAGGAAUCAUAAUAACAUUUCUGCACAUCUGCUUCAGCUUAAUAUAACUUGUAUUCAACAAGACAUGCUCUGUCGCUAAAACAUCCUUGUCAAGACACUAAACUCAUGAUUCUUUACUUCUUAGUAAAUAAACAUACACUAAAAAAGUGAUUAAUUUGGAACUAAUUAGAAGAAUGCCCAUUCAUCAGCAUACCUCUGCGAGGGACAGAGCGAUAUCUUCCCUGAUAGCACUCUGAGUAGGAGAUGAAUAUCCAGCCUGCAAAACCAAAUUGACAAUUCCACAACCUAAGCCUUCCAAGCAUUCAACAGAAAAAAAAGUGAAAAUCAUUGUUUCAGAAUUUGGUUUCAGGAAAUGGACUUACACACGAUCCGAAAGCAUAAGAACCGCAAACUGCAAUGGGUGUGCUGAAGUAAACCAUGCACGGAUUUACUUUCUUGUUGUUUGUUCGGUCACCAGCUCCACCAUCUUCAUGAGCUAAGAUGUUCUCAAUCGGCAUAAGUGGUUCCCUUAUAUUUUCUUGAACAUCCUCUUUGACGUCCAUGAUGAUGCUGAUACCUUCCAAAAAGUUGCCUUAGUUUAUCUAAUAGAAGAAAUUGAAAGAAAUUGUUACAAGAUAAAGGAGAUACGCGAAGAUGGAAGCAGAAGCAAACUAUAUCAUCUAUCAAUUAGCCACAAGAGGCUGGAAUUUCUUGAGUCUUCCCUCAAUACUCCUUCGUGAGUUUUAUGAAAGUACUAACACUGAGGACAAGUAGGCAAUUUGUUUUUUCACACAACUGGAUAAUGAAUCUGAAUCAACGACCAUAUGUACACGUUCUACUCGAAGUAAUAUGUACGCUACUAAACUCAACUGGUGUUAUUUUGUCGUUUGCAUGAAAACUGAAACCUGAAAAGAUGACUUAAAGAUACAUGAACAGGCAGAAACCGCAAGCCAACAUGACUUAAAGAGAAUUUCUUCGAAGUAAAUUUUCCCACGGUUUGUUUGUGUAGGAGAAAAUCUAGGUCCCUCGUUAUCUCGUGUUUAGAAUUGUCAACUGUCGUGCGAACCUCUAAAGAUUCAAGAAAAUCAAAGACAAUUUCAGAUUUUUCUUCACCUGGGAUGUGGCUAAUUUCUUUCGGCACCCAUACCUUCUGUAUCAUUUAAAAUGUCUUAAUAAGCUUAAUUAGCCCCCAUGAAAUGCUUCACAGCUGAAGGCACAGCGAGUGUGCCUUUUAUUUUACUACAUCGACUUUCACAUGGAGAUUAUAAGCCGUAGUUAAAUUGUAAGAUAAGAAUGAAAUUAUGGAUACGUCAAAGUGCCAAGUUGAAUUAAUAAAAAAAUAGGAAAACGACGGUUGUGUGUGUCUAUCCUACAUUAUAAGGAAACAGUUAAGUUUCCAACAAGAGACAUGAUAGCCUUUUAUUUUAUUAUCCUAAAAAAAUUGGCUCAAAUAUUUUAUAAUAAAUAUUAAUAUAAUAUAAAUAUUUUAAAUAAUUUUAAUAAUUAAAAAAUACUAUAAUAUCUGCUGUACCGUACAUCCGCCUCCCACUUGUGAUUGCCCCGAUCAUGGCACCAAAGGUUAAUAUGGAGCCAAACACAGAAUACUGCAUGAGUGUAAACCAAAACCAAAAUGAAAAAAUUUCAUAUUUACCAACUGAAUGGAAUUAGUCUCUGCAGGAAUCAUAAUAACAUUUCUGCACAUCUGCUUCAGCUUAAUAUAACUUGUAUUCAACAAGACAUGCUCUGUCGCUAAAACAUCCUUGUCAAGACACUAAACUCAUGAUUCUUUACUUCUUAGUAAAUAAACGUACACUAAAAAAGUGAUUAAUUUGGAACUAAUUAGAAGAAUGCCCAUUCAUCAGCAUACCUCUGCGAGGGACAGAGCGAUAUCUUCCCUGAUAGCACUCUGAGUAGGAGAUGAAUAUCCAGCCUGCAAAACCAAAUUGACAAUUCCACAACCUAAGCCUUCCAAGCAUUCAACAGAAAAAAAAGUGAAAAUCAUUGUUUCAGAAUUUGGUUUCAGGAAAUGGACUUACACACGAUCCGAAAGCAUAAGAACCGCAAACUGCAAUGGGUGUGCUGAAGUAAACCAUGCACGGAUUUACUUUCUUGUUGUUUGUUCGGUCACCAGCUCCACCAUCUUCAUGAGCUAAGAUGUUCUCAAUCGGCAUAAGUGGUUCCCUUAUAUUUUCUUGAACAUCCUCUUUGACGUCCAUGAUGAUGCUGAUACCUUCCAAAAAGUUGCCUUAGUUUAUCUAAUAGAAGAAAUUGAAAGAAAUUGUUACAAGAUAAAGGAGAUACGCGAAGAUGGAAGCAGAAGCAAACUAUAUCAUCUAUCAAUUAGCCACAAGAGGCUGGAAUUUCUUGAGUCUUCCCUCAAUACUCCUUCGUGAGUUUUAUGAAAGUACUAACACUGAGGACAAGUAGGCAAUUUGUUUUUUCACACAACUGGAUAAUGAAUCUGAAUCAACGACCAUAUGUACACGUUCUACUCGAAGUAAUAUGUACGCUACUAAACUCAACUGGUGUUAUUUUGUCGUUUGCAUGAAAACUGAAACCUGAAAAGAUGACUUAAAGAUACAUGAACAGGCAGAAACCGCAAGCCAACAUGACUUAAAGAGAAUUUCUUCGAAGUAAAUUUUCCCACGGUUUGUUUGUGUAGGAGAAAAUCUAGGUCCCUCGUUAUCUCGUGUUUAGAAUUGUCAACUGUCGUGCGAACCUCUAAAGAUUCAAGAAAAUCAAAGACAAUUUCAGAUUUUUCUUCACCUGGGAUGUGGCUAAUUUCUUUCGGCACCCAUACCUUCUGUAUCAUUUAAAAUGUCUUAAUAAGCUUAAUUAGCCCCCAUGAAAUGCUUCACAGCUGAAGGCACAGCGAGUGUGCCUUUUAUUUUACUACAUCGACUUUCACAUGGAGAUUAUAAGCCGUAGUUAAAUUGUAAGAUAAGAAUGAAAUUAUGGAUACGUCAAAGUGCCAAGUUGAAUUAAUAAAAAAAUAGGAAAACGACGGUUGUGUGUGUCUAUCCUACAUUAUAAGGAAACAGUUAAGUUUCCAACAAGAGACAUGAUAGCCUUUUAUUUUAUUAUCCUAAAAAAAUUGGCUCAAAUAUUUUAUAAUAAAUAUUAAUAUAAUAUAAAUAUUUUAAAUAAUUUUAAUAAUUAAAAAAUACUAUAAUAUUUUACAAUCUAUUAGAUAUAUUUUAUCUGCUGUNNNNNNNNNNNNNNNNNNNNNNNNNNNNNNCCUGCUGUACCGUACAUCCGCCUUGGCCGUACAGCAGUAUAUAAAAAUUCAAAAUAUUUGGGAUACUAUGUAAAAUAAUUUUAAUAUUAUUAAUGCGUGCAAUAUAUUUUAUUAAAUGUAAAGUAUAUUUAACUCAGAGAUUUAUUUAAAAUCUUUGUAAUAGAUUCAUGAAAGUAUUAAAAUAAUAUAGUGAUAUAAAUUAUUUUUAAAUAUUUUACUUUUAUUAAUUUAUUAAAUAGAUUAAAUUAUUUGCUGCUGUCUUUUGACAAGCAAUUCUUGACAGGAAAAUGAGUUGGUUGUUUGUCUUUUAUCCCCAAAGAUGUGAGACUGAUUCAAGUUAUUUACGCAUCCUGUCCAUUAUCCAACAACAAUUCUGGUGACGACAGUGAUCUGAUCUACUACCCAUUUUACUUAGUAAUAAAUUAGGUACAGCCAGCCACCGAUUUAGAAUGGAGAGUUGGCAACCGCAUUGGUUCACUCCUGAAAAAAUAUUAAAAAAACAAAUGGAGAGUUGCAAUUUGCCAUGUGUUUCGAUGAUGAAUUCAAAAGUGGUUGUUUUGGGAUAUAUUUGAAUAAAGGAAUGCAGGCCUUGGAGAAAUAAUAAUAAUAAUAAUGAACAACAUAUAUGAGAUCUUUCAAAUUGAUGCCGUAAGAACUUGAUAGAUCAAGAGGGUACUUAUAAAAAUGAUCGACACUAAAUUUUCACGGUUGCAUUAAAUUUGCAGUUCGCCAACAAAUAUUUCCACCCAUUUGCAAGUAAAAACGAAAUUCAACAUCAUGCCUUGCCAAUCUCAGAGUGAACAAGCAUGGUUGUAGCUCAAAUUGACCUUCAGGCUCAAGAGAACUUGCAGAUCCCUUUCCCACAAUUUUUCAGAAUUGAUUUAACAUGAAACAUCACCUCAGAACAAGAACAUAUAGUAAGACUCGAAUGUUAACAUCUCAGAACAAGAACAUAUAACAAGACUCGAAUAUAACUUCCCAUAUUUACUGCCACAGCACAAAAUUCAGAAUUAGUUUCUUCGGUAAAUCCCGAUUAAAGAACUGGCCGAAUCCAUCAGUUUGAACUAUAAAAAUGCAGCGAUAAGGCUAUAGAAAAAGCAACAAGAAGAUCAAUGAAGCUACAAACACCAGUAGUCUCAGAUAGUUGACCAUAACAUUCAAUGUACAGAGACAAAUCCCACCUUGUACCGAGAUGGUGUGCUGUUUCUUCCAGCACAAGUUUCACCCGUAUGAAACUGCCACAUUUUCCUUAAUCUUCUAACAGCUCUUAACCGACUAUGCUUUUAUGCAGACACUUAGGUCCAAAACAAGCAGAUUAAGCCUGGAGCAUUUACUCUAUCAAUCGAAAGAGACAGGUAAUGAAGACUUCUCAAAUGCAUUUACUUCACACAGGUAUCCUCGGUUGGCCUCUCCACAUUGACAUCUAUAGAUGCAGUGUCGGAUCCUCAAGAAGCAACAAUGUUAAAUGCAUAUCACUCACAAUAUCCCGUAAUAACACAAUCUUAUGAGCAAAAUUUGCAAAAACACCAAAACCACACAGGACCUUAGUAAAUGAAAACACCUGCUAUUCAUAUACAAGUAGAAUUUUAGCUUUGUUAUCACGAUGCACCCUACUUGAAAAGAAUCAACUUUGAAUUAUGCAUCUAUGUACUCUUUACAAGGUGGAACAUGAUUCAAAUUUCAAGAACCACGAAAGCUAUAUAAAAAAUAUAUCAAGGCCAACAAAACCAUCGGUGCAGACACCGGUAAUUACAACAAUUCUACUGGUUUGGAACCAGAGUUUCUCACUUCUUCCUUAUGACUGGAAUCAGAGAUUCUCACUUCUUCCUUAUGACUAGAAGGGCGCUCAAUUUCAGUAAAAGCCUGAUAGCCGGUAUAACUUGAGAACUGACCUGAGCCACUAUUACUGCUCAUAGACUUCUCAAUCUCGUCCAUCUCAGCUACAAAAGAAAUUGGUCGUUCUGGGAUUGUGGGAACAGACUGCUCAGUUUCCAACAUUUUCACGACCUGAUCCAUCGUUGGCCUGGCAUAUAACUGUGGAUGGGAACAAAGAACGGCAAUCGUUACAUACUUCUCUAGAACUUCGGGUACACCCAUCUCUGGCAUACCAUCUUCAAUAACAUCCAGAGCUCUCCCCUCCUUCACCAAUGACCAAGCCCAGUCCGUCACAAGAGAAGCUUGGCCAUCAUCAUUCAUAAUGAGUGCCUUCCUGCCACUCAAAAGCUCCAGAAGCACAACACCAAAGCUGUACACAUCACUCCUGUCAGUCAAUUGCCCAUACAAAGCAUACUCAGGAGCAAGAUAUCCCAUUGUCCCAGCCACCCUAGUACUCAAAUGAGUGAACCCCUCCGGUGUAAACUUUGCAAGCCCAAAAUCCCCCACCUUUGCCUCAAACUUCUCAUCCAAUAAUAUAUUACUAGCUUUAAUAUCCCUGUGAAAAAUUGCCGGCUGUGCACCAAAAUGCAAAUAGGCCAAUCCCCUUGCCGUCCCAAGAGCAAUCGACUGCCUAAGAGGCCAACUAAGCUUCGGCCCAUUGGAAGCAAACAAAUGAUCAUAAACGCUUCCAUUCUUCAUCAAAUCACAGACAAUAAUCCUCUGGUGACCCUCUAACUGAGUAGUGGCAAUACAAUAACCUCUCAAAGCAACAAGAUUGACAUGCCUAACGCUAGCAAUAACCUCCACCUCAUGCUUGAAAUUUGCAUCACCCGCCGCGGAACAAUUCUUGAACCUCUUCAAAGCAACCUCAGAGCCAUCGGGCAAAAGCCCUUUGUAGACAUUACCAUAACCUCCUCUCCCAAUGAUAUUAUCCCUUGAGAAAUUCCGAGUAGCUUUCUUAAUGUCAUCAAAUGUGAACCUGACCAAAUUAGUACUCUCAUGAAUAGACUCCAAUCCCAUUUCAAUUCUAUUAACCUCUUCUCGUUCCCUCUUCUUUCUUCUGUUAGAAACCACACGCUUACGCCAAAAGAUCCAAACCCCACCAGAAAUUAGCAACAACCCAACAACACAAACAACCAAGACCCCGGCAAUUAAGCCCUUGUUCUUCUUCUUACUCUUCUUUGAUGAUUCAGCAAACUCAAAUGAGAACAAACAGUUAGCAGUGCCCGUAUCGGUGGGACCAAACUGAUUGGCGGCCGCGGCGGCGUAAAUGGAAGGAUAGGCCAGACAAUCAGACAAGUUCCCAACGGAAGGCCCGGUCAAAUAGGCCUGCAAGCGGGCCAAGCUGGUAGUACAAGCAGCACAAGGGGCACUAUUCCCCAAGGACUGGUUACAGUUGGAAACGACGUCGUCGAGAGUGGACUGGGGAAUCAACCUCUCGAACUGGGAUAUCGUGGAGAUGUUCAUACAGCCUUCAGAGAUCCAAUCGGUUUGGAAGCCGCAGCGGGAGCGUACGUCGAAGUUCGGAGCGACUCUGUCGACAAGGGUUUGGUAAACGCGCCAGCAUGACUCGGAGGCGUUGAGGGGCGGCAGGAAGUUUCCGGUGCGUUUGAGGUAUUGUGAAUCCACGAGACGAAGGCCCUUUUUAACGUUCUGACACUGCGAGGGCAGGUCACUCGGAGUCUUGAACUGGGACAUCAGCUGCUGUAAGAAGUUGAAGUCAAGCGGGCACGAAACGGUGGCGUUUCGUUGUGCCGCGGCCGUUGUUGUGGAGGCCGCCAGGAAAAGAAUGAGAACAAGGCCUCGUAAGAAUGACAUCGGCAUCGACAUCUCGGGGACGGGGAGAGAUACCGGGGGGUGUUGGUAGCAGUACAGAGACAACAAAGACAACAAUAAGGAAAAGCAUGUGCACGUGCUUGUGCUUGGGGAUUGUGGUGCAAUUUGAGUAAACUAGUGUAAUUUGAGUUGGGAGUUUGACUAAUCACUAGUAAAUUCCCUAUGGCAUGCAACGGGUGAUGGCGGCAGGCAAGGCAAACACAGCCAGCCAGUUAUGACAGUUGAUUAGCUUAACCUACUGCAAAUUUGAAGCUUCAGAGAAGGUGAGAUAGUUCAAUUCAUUUGAUUUCGUUCAAUAAAAAUAUAAUAAAUAAAAGUUAUUGCUUCCUUACUUACCUAGUUUGUUAAUUUUCAACGCCUUAUUUUUGUCUGUCAAUAGAAACUUCAAGUCCAUUCAUCAA